rnacentral:rRNA from 1 species
UACGGAGGGUGCAAACGUUGCUCGGAAUCAUUGGGCGUAAAGCGCACGUAGGCGGUUCGGUAAGUCGGGAGUGAAAUCCCUCGGCUCAACCGAGGAAGUGCUUUCGAAACUACCGAACUUGAGUAUGGAAGAGGGUCGCGGAAUUCCCGGUGUAGAGGUGAAAUUCGUAGAUAUCGGGAGGAACACCAGUGGCGAAGGCGGCGACCUGGGCCAAUACUGACGCUGAGGUGCGAAAGCGUGGGGAGCAAACAGG